rnacentral:rRNA from 1 species
AGAGUUUGAUCCUGGCUCAGAUUGAACGCUGGCGGCAUGCCUUACACAUGCAAGUCGAACGGCAGCACGGGUGCUUGCACCUGGUGGCGAGUGGCGAACGGGUGAGUAAUAUAUCGGAACGUACCUUAUCGUGGGGGAUAACGCAGCGAAAGCUGCGCUAAUACCGCAUACGCCCUGAGGGGGAAAGCGGGGGACCGUAAGGCCUCGCGCGAUUAGAGCGGCCGAUAUCUGAUUAGCUUGUUGGUGGGGUAAAAGCCCACCAAGGCGACGAUCAGUAGCUGGUCUGAGAGGACGAUCAGCCACACUGGGACUGAGACACGGCCCAGACUCCUACGGGAGGCAGCAGUGGGGAAUUUUGGACAAUGGGGGCAACCCUGAUCCAGCAAUGCCGCGUGAGUGAAGAAGGCCUUCGGGUUGUAAAGCUCUUUUGUCAGGGAAGAAACAGCAGCUCUAACACAGUCUGCGAAUGACGGUACCUGAAGAAUAAGCACCGGCUAACUACGUGCCAGCAGCCGCGGUAAUACGUANGGUGCAAGCGUUAAUCGGAAUUACUGGGCGUAAAGCGUGC